GUACACGCUGUGACUAGCAUAUCAAUAAGCGGAGGAAAAGAAACUAACAAGGAUUCCCCUAGUAACGGCGAGUGAAGCGGGAAGAGCUCAAAUUUGAAAUCUUAAAGGGUUUCCCUUUACGAAUUGUAGUUUAAAGAAGUGUUUUCUGUCGAGGUUUUGGUCAAAGUUCUUUGGAAGUAGGACAUCAUAGAGGGUGAGAAUCCCGUAUUUGACCUUUACUUUCAACUUUGUGAUACACUUUCAAAGAGUCGGAUUGUUUGGGAAUGCAGUCCAAAAUGGGUGGUAAAUUUCAUCUAAAGCUAAAUAUUGGCGAGAGACCGAUAGCGAACAAGUACCGUGAGGGAAAGAUGAAAAGAACUUCGAAAAGAGAGUUAAACAGUACGUGAAAUUGUCAAAAGGGAAGCGUUUGACACCAGUGUUGUUUUUCUGAAAAUCAAUUAAAGAACUGUUUAUGCUAAGCUGUUUAGACUUUAUCAGCUAAUCUGUUUAGUUUUGAGCUUUUCUUUAAUGCACUUUUCAGUUAACAAGUCAACAUCAAUUUCUUUUGCUGUAAAAAAGCUUGAGGAAGGUGGCUUGAGAUUCGUCUUAAGUGUUUAUAGCCUCUUGCCUAUGCAGUCGGAGAGAUUGAGGUCUGCAGCGUAGAUCCUUCGGGGCUAAAUGCAUUUGUGCUAAGUUAUAGCAUUUUAUAGACAACUUGUUGACUAUGAUUUGUCUUGUAGCUUACUCGCUCAUGUUAUUUUACCUACGCUUAGGAUGUUGAAGAUGUAGCACAUCA
rnacentral:rRNA from 1 species